rnacentral:rRNA from 1 species
AGGACGAACGCUGGCGGCGUGCUUAACACAUGCAAGUCGAGCGGAAAGGCCCUUCGGGGUACUCGAGCGGCGAACGGGUGAGUAACACGUGAGCAACCUGCCCCUGGCUCUGGGAUAGCCUUCGGAAACGGGGAUUAAUACCGGAUAUUCACUGCUUCCUGCAUGGGGGGUGGUGGAAAGUUUUUCGGCUGGGUGGGGCUCGCGGCCUAUCAGCUUGUUGGGGGGUGACGGCCCACCAAGGCGACGACGGGUAGCCGGCCUGAGAGGGCGACCGGCCACACUGGGACUGAGACACGGCCCAGACUCCUACGGGAGGCAGCAGUGGGGAAUAUUGCGCAAUGGGCGGAAGCCUGACGCAGCGACGCCGCGUGCGGGAUGAAGGCCUUCGGGUUGUAAACCGCUUUCACCAGGGACGAAGCGAGAGUGACGGUACCUGGGGAAGAAGCGCCGGCUAACUACGUGCCAGCAGCCGC